GACGAACGCUGGCGGCGUGCUUAACACAUGCAAGUCGAACGGAAAGGCCCUGCUUUUGUGGGGUGCUCGCGUGGCGAACGGGUGAGUAACACGUGAGUAACCUGCCCUUGACUUUGGGAUAACUUCAGGAAACUGGGGCUAAUACCGGAUAGGAGCUCCUGCUGCAUGGUGGGGGUUGGAAAGUUUCGGCGGUUGGGGAUGGACUCGCGGCUUAUCAGCUUGUUGGUGGGGUAGUGGCUUACCAAGGCUUUGACGGGUAGCCGGCCUGAGAGGGUGACCGGCCACAUUGGGACUGAGAUACGGCCGAGGCUCCUACGGGAGGCAGCAGUGGGGAAUAUUGCACAAGGGGCGGAAGCCUGAUGCAGCAACGCCGCGUGCGGGAUGACGGCCUUCGUGUUGUAAACCGCUUUCGCCUGUGACGAAGCGUGAGUGACGGUAAUGGGUAAAGAAGCACCGGCUUACUACGUG
rnacentral:rRNA from 1 species